UACGUAGGGUGCGAGCGUUGUCCGGAAUUAUUGGGCGUAAAGAGCUUGUAGGCGGUUUGUCGCGUCUGCUGUGAAAAUCCGGGGCUCAACCCCGGACUUGCAGUGGGUACGGGCAGACUAGAGUGUGGUAGGGGGAGACUGGAAUUCCUGGUGUAGCGGUGGAAUGCGCAGAUAUCAGGAGGAACACCGAUGGCGAAGGCAGAUCUCUGGGCCGUAACUGACGCUGAGGAGCGAAAGCAUGGGGAGCGAACAGG
rnacentral:rRNA from 1 species